rnacentral:rRNA from 1 species
AUUGAACGCUGGCGGCAGGCCUAACACAUGCAAGUCGAGCGAGCGGCGGCCGGGUGAGUAAUGUAUGGGGACUGCCCGAUAGAGGGGGAUAACUCCUGGACACAGUAGCUAAUACCUCAUACUAUCGGAUCACCCAUAUGGGCUUAGCUCGUAGGUGAGGUAAUGGCUCACCUCGGCGACGAUCCCUAGCUGGUCUGAGAGGAUGAUCAGCAACACUGGGACUGAGACACGGCCCAGACUCCUACGGAGGCAGCAGUGGGGAAUAUUGCACAAUGGGCGCAAGCCUGAUGCAGCCAUGCCGCGUGUAUGAAGAAGGCCUUAGGGUUGUAAAGUACUUUCAGUCGGGAGGCGUUACCGACAGAAGAAGCACCGGCUAACUCCGUGCCAGCAGCCGCGGUAAUAC